AGAAACUAAAAGGAUUAACUAGGAGAAAAAGAAAACAUUUGGAGGAUUCAAGUAUAUUGGGUACAACAAACAAAUAAGAGAUUUUCGACGUGGAUCCUAUCAAUCACAGAACCAUCAGAAAUUGUGGUACCGUCACCAUCGUCUGGCGGCCAUGCAGAUAUAAUCCAGAAGCUGAAUGCUAUUGAGACCCGUCUCACUGCCAUUGAGAAGUCCCUAACAGACAAA